rnacentral:rRNA from 1 species
UACGUAGGGUGCAAGCGUUGUCCGGAAUUAUUGGGCGUAAAGAGCUCGUAGGCGGCUUGUCGCGUCGGCUGUGAAAGCCCGGGGCUUAACCCCGGAAUUGCGCCUGAAACUACAUGACUAGAGCAUUGGAGAGGGUAGCGGAAUUCACGGUGUAGCAGUGAAAUGCGUAGAUAUCGUGAGGAACACCAGAGGCGAAGGCGGCUACCUGGACAAUUGCUGACGCUCAGGCACGAAAGCGUGGGGAGCAAACAGG